rnacentral:tRNA from 1 species
GAGGGUAUAGCUCAGUAGUAGAGUGCAUGCGUAGCAUGCACGAGGUCCUGGUUCGAGCCCCAGUACCUCCA